rnacentral:tRNA from 1 species
UUAACCGAAACCAAGGGGAGGUGUACUACUGUUAAUAGUAAAAAUGAAAAAAAUUUCCGGUUAAA